UUGACCUCGGAUCAGGUAGGGAUACCCGCUGAACUUAAGCAUAUCAAUAAGCGGAGGAAAAGAAACCAACCGGGAUUGCCUCAGUAACGGCGAGUGAAGCGGCAAGAGCUCAAAUUUGAAAGCUGGCUCCUUCGGAGUCCGCAUUGUAAUUUGCAGAGGAUGCUUUGGGUGCGGCCCCCGUCUAAGUGCCCUGGAACGGGCCGU
rnacentral:rRNA from 1 species